ensembl:lncRNA
UUUGCUGGAGAUUUCUGCUUACCUGAGGUCUUCUAAAGAAAAAUGGAGUGACCUUACAGCCAAACUUUGGGCUAUGCAAACAACUCUCACUGCCCCACUACCCAAGGAUCAGAAGAGGAGAGGGCAAUGCAUAAGGUUUUCAGAGAACUCACACCUCUGUUUCAGUUACCCAAGAUCUUUUGAGUGUUGUUAUCCAGAGCCCAGCACUGCAGAUGUAAAAAUGAAAAUUUCCUUAACGAAACAGCUGUGUCCUGCCUGCAGCCUGAAGAAGAAUGGCAUUAGUCACAUGCAGUUCAACACAUAGCACAAUUGUAAAGUUCACUCUAUGAGACUGACAGGAGCUAUUCACAUCGGCCCCCUCCACCAUCUGCCUGAAUGGCAGCGGCUGUGGGGCGGUGACAGCCCCCCCGCCUGCCCCAGUGCUCAGGGCCUGCUCAGAGUCUGUCCCCAUGUGCGGCAAAUGGGGGGUGAAAGCAACGAGAGGAUGUCACUCAGGUCAAAGCAGAUUGUCAAGAGAAAAAAAAAAAAAUGGGGAGGGGAGAGUCAAAGCUGGUGGGAGUACCGAUUUGCUGUUCUCCUGGGGGAAAGGUGUUGGCUCCAACUUGGUGAGAAGCAAAGAGAACAGCUGAGUCUGGGGAGAAAUCCUAUAUCUCUCUCCUUCCUCGCUUCCUGAGCUUAGAGGACUUGGAUUUGGGAAUGAGCUCUGAGUCCAGAGGGCAACCUGCUGCAGGCUUGAACACAGUCAGUGUCCCCUCUUGGUAUGCUGCAGGACCCCUCCUGCAGUCUGGGAAGGUCAGACUGGAUGAAGGCGUGAGGCUCAUUUUCAUCCUAUCACCUGUUUUUCCUUCUCAUUUCCAGAUGGUGACUUCUCUUCUCAAAGCAGAAACUUCGGCCAUCAAACCAUGGGGUGUGUGGCCCAGUAUUCCUAAAAUCCUUUCCUCUCCAAUUGCAGUAACUCCUAAGGUCACCCAGUUCUUGCAGUAUGAUGUUAAACAACAUCUCCCACUUUUAUGCCACUGGUGUAUCAUUAACAUUACAUCUCCUUUUCUCUCCUCACCUCUUCAAUACACAACAAACUGAAACCUUUGGUGAAUUUCUAAAGAAAGUUUUUUGACAAUUUCUAAGAAGCCUUAUUUUUAAGUAAAAAUCUGUUUACUGCAAUUUUUUUUUCUAUAAAUGGAGAUUGCCUGAUUUUAAUUUGCAUAAGCAAAAGAUGAGGAGAACAGUGCUUAGUGUAUGGACAUAUCCCAGACAAACAGAUACUUGCCCCAAAUCAGGGAGGGCGAGAAGCUCAUUUCAACCCAGCCCUGCUCAGAAAGUAUACUGGCACUGCAGUAUGCAGCAUAGUUAUACUGACAGCAGGGUGAGCCCUAUGACAAUGCUUAUUACUCAGGCUAAGGUGGAGAAAAAGUGCUCUUUUAGGAGAGAAAAAUGAAUUUUGUGUAAGCCAGUGCCAAAGCGGUGAUUUUCCAUCACCUCUGUGCUACCCGGGUGUUCACUAAACUGCUCUUUGCUUUACUGACCGUUACAAUAGUAGCAGUGAUUUGGGUAUUCAUGUUGUUUCAACUGCUCAGUGCACUUAUUGCAUUGUCUCCUCUGUUAAUGGUUUGCAUUACUGGGUCUGCUCACGCAAUCCUGGGAUGAUGCUGAUAUUGGAAUAUCUGUGGUGUGUGAGUCCCUGAGUGUAGAAAUAAACUGGAAGAGGUUUUAGGGUAGAACUGGCUAAAUCGUGACAUCAGUUACGAUGAGUGAUGUUUUUAAAACACUUCCCGGGUAUUUUUGUAGAGGAAAAUAACUUCUCAGACUUUCUGCAUGUUUGGGAGAAGUCUGACUGCAUCCUUUUAGUGAGUGGGUUUAUUCCUGUGCUUCACUCAUAAAAAGGAGUUAGAAAACUUCACAUACCAAAAAUUCCCAAGAAGACAGCUGUCAGGGCAUGACAUGUCAGAUAUGGAGUGGCUCUCCAGCUGGUCUCUGUCUGCAUGCUGGGAAGGCAUGUGGAGACAUUUUUUCAAUUGCUGUACUAGUUUGACACGUUCACAGUGGAAAAUGAUGUAUCAUUCUUGAGCCUUUGGUUGGUGGACACUUCAAAGUGCACU